rnacentral:rRNA from 1 species
UACAGAGGUCCCGAGCGUUGUUCGGAUUUAUUGGGCGUAAAGGGUGCGUAGGCGGCGGAGAAAGUUGGGUGUGAAAUCCCGGGGCUUAACCUCGGAAUGGCAUUCAAUACUGCUUCGCUCGAGUACUGGAGAGGAGGCUGGAAUUUACGGUGUAGCAGUGAAAUGCGUAGAUAUCGUAAGGAAGGCCGGUGGCGAAAGCGAGCCUCUGGACAGUUACUGACGCUGAUGCACGAAGGCCAGGGGAGCAAACGGG